UACGUAGGGUGCGAGCGUUAAUCGGAAUUACUGGGCGUAAAGCGUGCGCAGGCGGUGAUGUAAGAACGAUGUGAAAUCCCCGGGCUUAACCUGGGAACUGCAUUGGUGACUGCAUUGCUGGAGUAUGGCAGAGGGGGGUGGAAUUCCACGUGUAGCAGUGAAAUGCGUAGAGAUGUGGAGGAACACCGAUGGCGAAGGCAGCCCCCUGGGCCAAUACUGACGCUCAUGCACGAAAGCGUGGGGAGCAAACAGG
rnacentral:rRNA from 1 species